CGGAUUGAAGGCUGAAAUUCGCCUUCAUGAAGCUGGAAUUGCUAGUAAUGGCAGGUCAGCAUACUGCCGUGAAUACGUUCCCGGGCCUUGUACACACCGCCCGUCACACCAUGAGAGUUGGGAAUACCCGAAGCCUGUGAGCUAACUUUUAGAGGCAGCAGUCGAAGGUAGAAUCAAUGAUUGGGGUGAAGUCGUAACAAGGUAAC
rnacentral:rRNA from 1 species